AUUGAACGCUGGCGGCAUGCCUUACACAUGCAAGUCGAACGGUAACGGGCCUUCGGGUGCCGACGAGUGGCGAACGGGUGAGUAAUACAUCGGAACGUGCCCGAUCGUGGGGGAUAACGAGGCGAAAGCUUUGCUAAUACCGCAUACGAUCUACGGAUGAAAGCAGGGGACCGCAAGGCCUUGCGCGGACGGAGCGGCCGAUGGCAGAUUAGGUAGUUGGUGGGAUAAAAGCUUACCAAGCCGACGAUCUGUAGCUGGUCUGAGAGGAUGAUCAGCCACACUGGGACUGAGACACGGCCCAGACUCCUACGGGAGGCAGCAGUGGGGAAUUUUGGGCAAUGGGCGCAAGCCUGAUCCAGCCAUGCCGCGUGCAGGAUGAAGGCCUUCGGGUUGUAAACUGCUUUUGUACGGAACGAGAAGCCUUCUUUUAAUACAGGAGGGUCAUGACGGUACCGUAAGAAUAAGCACCGGCUAACUACGUG
rnacentral:rRNA from 1 species